rnacentral:lncRNA from 1 species
AAAUAAAAAUGUAAGCUACAUUUAUUAUAAAGAAGUUAUAUAAAGUGUAAUUUGCCAAAAAAAAAAAUAUUACACAUAAUUGCCAUAUUUUUCUUUAAGUGUUAAUUUAUGUUGUAUUUUUGACGUAUUUAACAAAAAUCAAAAUUUUUCAAAUCAGUCCCCUAUUUUAUCCCUAUUUGUGUAAUUUGGACAAAUAGAAAGCCUUUGUUUUAGGCCCAACAUUGCAGGCACAACAAAAGAUUUCAACCUUUGAUUUUAGCUAUGAUGUACUAUUUGAUAAUGAGGAUAUUUCUACUAGUUCUAAUAUUAAUCCAAAUGUACUAUUUAAUAACAAGGACAUUUGGAUUCCUGCUUCUUUUCAUCUUCCAAAUCUAAAAAUCUUCCGUUCUGGUCUUUUCUAUCCUCAAAAAGCUUCUCUUUAGUAGCCACUACUAGAGGAUUUAAACUUUAAAGGGAACUAUAACAAGUGAUUUUAUAUUCAAUCUUUCAUGUCAGCUUUUGAAAAGAUUGAAGAUAGUGUUAUGGCCAUUGGAUUGACACAUCAAGAAAUGGAAGGUUCUUGCAAUAACAGAAGUAAAAACAGUUGUGAUAUUAAGCUAGAC